UGGGGAAUUUUGGACAAUGGGCGAAAGCCUGAUCCAGCAAUGCCGCGUGUGUGAAGAAGGCCUUCGGGUUGUAAAGCACUUUUGUCCGGAAAGAAAUCCUCUGGGUUAAUACCUCGGGGGGAUGACGGUACCGGAAGAAUAAGCACCGGCUAACUACGUGCCAGCAGCCGCGGUAAUACGUAGGGUGCAAGCGUUAAUCGGAAUUACUGGGCGUAAAGCGUGCGCAGGCGGUUUUGUAAGACGGAUGUGAAAUCCCCGGGCUUAACCUGGGAACUGCAUUCGUGACUGCAAGGCUAGAGUAUGGCAGAGGGGGGUAGAAUUCCACGUGUAGCAGUGAAAUGCGUAGAGAUGUGGAGGAAUACCGAUGGCGAAGGCAGCCCCCUGGGCCAAUACUGACGCUCAUGCACGAAAGCGUGGGGGAGCAAAACAGGAUUAGAUACCCUGGUAGUCCACGCCCUAAAACGAUGUCAACUAGUUGUUGGGGAUUCAUUUCCUUAGUAACGUAGCUAACGCGUGAAGUUGACCGCCUGGGGAGUACGGUCG
rnacentral:rRNA from 1 species